UGCCAGCAGCCGCGGUAAUACGGAGGGUGCAAGCGUUGUCCGGAAUCACUGGGUGUAAAGGGUGUGUAGGCGGGACUGUUAGUCAGAGGUGAAAUCCCACGGCUUAACCGUGGAACUGCCUUUGAUACUAUAGUUCUUGAGUCUCGGAGAGGUCGCUGGAAUUCGUGGUGUAGCGGUGAAAUGCGUAGAUAUCACGAGGAACACCAGAGGCGUAGGCGGGCGACUGGACGAGUACUGACGCUGAGGCACGAAAGCGUGGGGAGCGAACAGGAUUAGAUA
rnacentral:rRNA from 1 species